CCUACGGGUGGCAGCAGUGAGGAAUAUUGGUCAAUGGACGAGAGUCUGAACCAGCCAAGUAGCGUGAAGGAUGACUGCCCUAUGGUUUGUAAACUUCUUUUAUAUGGGAAUAAAAUGUUCCACGUGUGGGCUUUUGUAUGUACCAUAUGAAUAAGGAUCGGCUAACUCCGUGCCAGCAGCCGCGGUAAUACGGAGGAUCCGAGCGUUAUCCGGAUUUAUUGGGUUUAAAGGGAGCGUAGGUGGAUUGUUAAGUCAGUUGUGAAAGUUUGCUGCUCAACCGUAAAAUUGCAGUUGAAACUGGCAGUCUUGAGUACAGUAGAGGUGGGCGGAAUUCGUGGUGUAGCGGUGAAAUGCUUAGAUAUCACGAAGAACUCCGAUUGCGAAGGCAGCUCACUGGACUGCAACUGACACUGAGGCUCGAAAGUGUGGGUAUCAAACAGGAUUAGAUACCCUUGUAGUC
rnacentral:rRNA from 1 species